rnacentral:tRNA from 1 species
CGGGACGUAGCGCAGCCCGGUAGCGCACCAGAAUGGGGUUCUGGGGGUCGCCGGUUCAAAUCCGGCCGUCCCGA